AGCCUUGUGUGUCCAUGCUGGGAUUUCGCCAAAUACCAGACUACAAAGACUGAUGAAACUGCCAAGAUAAGUGAAGCG
rfam:Schistosoma mattheei strain Denwood, Zambia genome assembly, scaffold: SMTD_scaffold0018214